CUCGAUCUCGCGGGAGAGAUCGGGCCGUCCAGCCUCCCCACUACCGGACGGACCCGGAGCCGAAGGCGCAACCGCCCCGGAAACGCUCAGGCAAACGGACCGCGAGAACACU
rnacentral:ncRNA from 2 species